rnacentral:lncRNA from 1 species
UGCACCCUUUAAAAGCGUGCUCUCAGGAUGCUAUCGUCCUGUGGGUCUCAGGAUGUGAGCCCUGUUUACUUUCAAAGUUAGAGCUUUUGGGGGCUCCUCUCUCAGGUGCAGGUACUGAAAGAUUUCUGCUGAACCUCUGAAAUGCCAAGAGUCUGCCUGCUGUUCCUCAGUUAGGAGAAAUACUGCCUGGUCCAGCAGGUCGGAGGACCUUACCUUUGCAUGGGGCCCAACGUGAAUGUGAAAUGAACUGUGAAUCUUUGUUUUUCCUGGGCCAAACUAAAGUGAACUUCAUUCCUGUCUGAUCUUUCCCCAUCUUCAAAAGUGGAAGCUCCUUUGUUCAAGCUGUGUGCCUUUGAGAGAGGAAGAAAAAGACUUCAAGGGGAAAGUUUACUUUAAAG